GUGGGGAAUUUUGGACAAUGGGGGCAACCCUGAUCCAGCCAUUCCGCGUGAGUGAAGAAGGCCUUCGGGUUGUAAAGCUCUUUCAGUGGGGACGAUAAUGACGGUACCCACAGAAGAAGCCCCGGCUAACUUCGUGCCAGCAGCCGCGGUAAUACGAAGGGGGCUAGCGUUGUUCGGAUUUACUGGGCGUAAAGCGCACGUAGGCGGAUCGUUAAGUCGGGGGUGAAAUCCUGGAGCUCAACUCCAGAACUGCCUUCGAUACUGGCGAUCUUGAGUCCGGAAGAGGUGAGUGGAACUCCUAGUGUAGAGGUGGAAUUCGUAGAUAUUAGGAAGAACACCAGUGGCGAAGGCGGCUCACUGGUCCGGUACUGACGCUGAGGUGCGAAAGCGUGGGGAGCAAACAGGAUUAGAAACCCUGGUAGUCC
rnacentral:rRNA from 1 species